rnacentral:rRNA from 1 species
AGUGAACGCUGGCGGUAGGCCUAACACAUGCAAGUCGAACGGCAGCACAGGAGAGCUUGCUCUCUGGGUGGCGAGUGGCGGACGGGUGAGGAAUACAUCGGAAUCUACUCUGUCGUGGGGGAUAACGUAGGGAAACUUACGCUAAUACCGCAUACGACCUACGGGUGAAAGCAGGGGACCUUCGGGCCUUGCGCGAUUGAAUGAGCCGAUGUCGGAUUAGCUAGUUGGCGGGGUAAAGGCCCACCAAGGCGACGAUCCGUAGCUGGUCUGCGAGGAUCAUCAGCCACACUGGAACUGCGACACGGUCCAGACUCCUACGGGAGGCAGCAGUGGGGAAUAUUGGACAAUGGGCGCAAGCCUGAUCCAGCCAUACCGCGUGGGUGAAGAAGGCCUUCGGGUUGUAAAGCCCUUUUGUUGGGAAAGAAAUCCAGCUGGCUAAUACCCGGUUGGGAUGACGGUACCCAAAGAAUAAGCACCGGCUAACUUCGUGCCAGCCGCCGCCGUAA